UAGGUCAUGAACUUCAGGCCGUUUAUUUUUCAAACAACUCGUUCGUAAAACAAUACCAUAAGACGCGUUCUACUAAUGAUAAUAUUCUGUUCGCUCGACACAAGUAGUUACAAAACUCAAACGUGAAAAUCGAACUAACACGUUGUUGACUGUUGUCACUUGUCGGAUGACUAAUUUUUAAUAGAUAGUAUAAAAACCCUAGAUAUUAUUUUAUCGAAAAUAGUGAUAUGUACAUUCGAAUUAAAUAUUUUAUUAUCUGCUGCACAAUUGGGGGAUGAUCAUCUCGCGCUUAUUGUUUUUAUAAUCCCUAUAAUAUACGCUAAACACAGUAUAGCUCGUAAGGGUACGCUGUUGAAUCAGUAUCACUAUAAAUUGUUAUAGGAUUUAAAUGAAUUAGUAAGUAUUUAAAUUCAGCCCGUUUGUUAUAUUAUUUAUUUUACUCGGGCUUAUAAUAAGGCGCACAAAACAUGAUUGAAAGAAGGAAAAUUAAUAUAGGUACGUACUAUCGCGAUGCAAUUUAUAUAGAUGUAGGUACAAAGUAGGUAUAUUCAGUUUAUUGACAUUGAAGGAAUGUACAUGUCGUAGACUAUUUCGACAGGUAAAGUAAUAUCUCCGAUAAAUCGUAUGUUAUUGUACCCACUUAUCUCAACAACCGAUUAGUUGUGUAAAGUAUUCAUAUUGUGUAUUUUUAUAAGUGAUAUUUUUAAUUUUAUAAUAUUUGACUUUUAUAAUAGCCAGGUAUUACUCGUACGCUUUUACACGGUUUCGUUGGAUCAACGUGUACGCGAGGUUCAUAAUAUACAAAAACUAUUAUUUAACACAUGCAUUUAACAAUAGGUUUUAUGGAAUAUGAUCGUAUUAUUAAGCCAAGGAAGUAUAUUUUAUGAGAACAAUUAGGUUUUUUUUUAUUACUCUUAAAGAAAAUAUUACAUGCUUAUGCUUUUUGGUUUAAAAACCGGAGCAUAUACUCGUACGUAUGCCGUACACAGAGUUUUAUAUUUAAAACAAUUAUUUAAAAAAGGUUGAUACUGCUGUCGGGUGUACGAUGUUUUAGGAUUAGAAUGGAGGAUAUGUAAAGUAUAAUUUAAUUUAUACGUAUCCGUACGCAGCUAUAAACCGUUUCAAACGAAAAACAAUGAUUCUGUUCCCUUUAUUGUUGCAACUUAACCCAGAAAUCAACAAAAGUUAUACAAACAAAUUGCCAAUUUUUCCUAUUUUAUUAAAUAGUAUAUAUAUAUAUAAUAUAAUACAUAAAAAAAAAUCAAAAAAUGACCUCCUUAAUGCAUCAACUAGAUAAAAAAUGUCUACAAGUAACCCAAGAUUUCCAUCUUGUAAGUUAGUCAAGUUAUGUACAAAAUUUAAAAAACACGUUAUUAUAAGACUAAAAUUUUCAAACGAUUUCGUUGCUAAUGCUUUUUGUGACAAAAUUAUUUUUUUUUAUAUUGAAUUAAACUGUGUAUAGUGUUGUGUAACCAAUAUAUGUACCGUAAUCGUCUCCGAAAAAAAUCCAAAUCAAUAUAUUUUUUUACAAUAUGCUAAACAAACCGUGUGUAGUUGAAAAAGCUGCACCAAUAAUUUUAUUCCUCGUGUGCAUUCAUAAUACCCACUUAUCAUAUUAUCAUUAUUAAUGACAUUUGACGGAUUGACCUGUUAUGCCAUUUGGUAGAUGGGUAUCGUAUUU
rnacentral:lncRNA from 1 species